CCUACGUGCGGCAGCAGUAGGGAAUAUUGCUCAAUGGGGGCAACCCUGAAGCAGCAACGCCGCGUGGAGGAUGACUGUUUUCGGAGUGUAAACUCCUUUUGUUAGAGAAGAUAAUGACGGUAUCUAACGAAUAAGCACCGUCUAACUCCGUUCCAGCAGCCGCGGUACUACGGAGGUUGCAAGCGUUACUCGGAAUCACUGGGCGUAAAGCGCGCGUAGGCGGGAUAGCAAGUCAGAUGUGAAAUCCUAUGGCUUAACCAUAGAACUGCAUUUGACACUGUUAUUCUAGAGUACGGGAGAGGUAGGUGGAAUUCGUGGUGUAGCGGUAAAAUCCGUAGAGAUCAAGAGGAAUACUCAUUGCGAAGGCGACCUGCUAGAAUAUAACUGACGCUGAUGCGCGAAAGCGUGGGGAGCAAACAGGAUUAGAUACCCUAGUAGUC
rnacentral:rRNA from 1 species